AGGAUGCAGACUUGAGAAGGUAAGGUGUUGCUGAGACGGUCUGAAUGUGGUACUUGGUGACAGAACCCAGAUGAAGAGACAGAAGGAUUAAGGAUCUCAUUAAAGUGUUUGGAGCUAAUAAGUGGCAGAGCUGAAAUUUGAACCCAGGGAAUUUCAGAAAACGAGCCUGACUUUCUUAACUGCUAAGCUGUACUAGACGAUUCUUAAUUUCCCAUUACACUCUCUCCCUGUGUGAAGGACUGUGGACCAUGAACCAUUCGGGAAUAGUUUUCCAGGAUAGCCAUUGGUAUUCAAGUCACCUGAAGGAAUGUGAACGGGUUUCCAGGGAGCAGUUUAGUCCCUUUGGACUGAGGUGAGCAGGGAAAGAACAUGGAGCAGCGUGUGCAUAUGGACCAUUAUCAAGACUCACGCGACACCUGUGAAGGGUACACAAUUCUCUGAUAUGGAAAGCUCCAGAGGACAAUGGCAACAUAGACAUGGCCAUGGGACUGGUUAUGCUGCGGUCUACGAGGGUACAUUCGAGUCUCAGGAUUGUGUCCCUUGAAACAUGGGGUAGGUCUCUGCCAGUCCUUGCCUUGCUCACCAGAAUGUGGCUGAUUGAUUGUUCUGAGCUGGAGAUAUGACCAAUGUUGAGGAAAUUUGAAUCUUCCUCUAUGAACUAAAGUUCAUAAUCUAAGAGAGCAUUAUUGAUAACAAAUAAGUAAUCUUUGCAGUUCCUGGCAGGGUCCUGGAAUUUGCACUACUGAGGUCCCAGAGGGGAAAGCAGAGUGAGGAGAUAAAUGAUGGGGAAAGGAGAAAAGGAAGAGGGGGAAAGAGAGAAAAGAAAAGGAAAAAAAGACCCGAGUUUCUGUUCCUUUUUUUUUUUCUUCCUCCUUUCCCAUCAUUCUCUGCCCCCUCUUUUGCGGUCUCCUUUCCCUUCCCACCUCUUCCCUUCUAGAUAACGUCUCAUCUUUUUAUCAUGUUCAUAAAUCUGGCCUCUCUUGGCUUUUCCAAUAUGUCAGUUCUGACCAUUAUUACCAGCCAGCCCAACUGAAGUAGACUGUUCUCUCAGAAUAGUUUCUUGUCUUCUUUGUCUAUUCCUUUGCUGAAGGGACACCUUCUGCACUCUCUGUGGUAUUAGGGACACUAUCAAUCAUUGGAAUGCACUUUUUUCAUGAUGGUCAAUCAGAGAAACCCAUCCAUCUGGCCAAAGAGUUUGGCACAGGGAUAGAUGUGUGACCAUUUGACCCAAGCAGAGCAAUCAAAGUCUUCCUUGGGAGUGGCUGUAGAGAAAGAAGUUCUUUUUCCAUUGAGGUUGCCAAACUGGGGCAGCUAAGAGCCUGUCAGAGCCAUUUUGCUUGCUACAUAGAGGGUUAUAGGGGUUGCUCUGGAAUGUAAAGCCAAGAAUUAAAAGAGGUAUAAGAUGGAAAAAGAGGAAUAGCUUAGAUACCACCUCCUGAAUUCCAGGAUCUCUAGCCAUGAUGAAAGCCUGUGGACUCCCAGACAUAGGAUCCAAGAAAUGUCUUUUAUGUUUAAGCUAGCCUCAGUUGGGUUUCUAUUAUGAACUGAUUAGCAUAACAAAGAUCAAAUGACCAAGUGGUAGAAUUUUUAGAAGUUUCCACAGGUUAACUAGAAUUGGUUGUUGUUAGUUCCUACCAAUAGUAUCGCAACCAAUGUUCUGGGAAAACCAUGUAUUUGGAGAUGACUGCCUAAAUGACCACCGCCUUUGAUCUACUUUGGCAUUGUCCAAGUCUCAAAUACAAUACCACAGGUUGUUUAACUGGCUUUAUGUCCAUUCUGGUCUUCUUCAUUUACAUAACUGAUUUUUGUGUUAGAUAUUGUCUGUUAAUAACUAUCCCUGCUUUUCUUUCUUUCCCUUUCUUUGCAUUCUGGGGCUAAAAGCCUGGAAAUUACAUUUCUCAAACUCCUAAUCAGCAGGAUUCCAGUUAGAUUCUGCAAAUCAGUCACUUUGGUGAGGUCUAGAAGGCAUCUGGGAGGUUCAAGUCAUUUCUCUCUAGCAUCAACUAUGGAAAUGUGUGUGGGUGUCAGCAGAUGGCAGAUGUGGGUUUUUGUGAGUGGUUUUUGGAGUCCUCCUGAAAGUCACUUCUGUAGGGCAGGCAACUGGCUUCAUUGGUGGCAGCUUUCUGCUGAUUCUGGGCCUUUGCCCAAGGACUAGCUAGUAGAGCUACAGAUAGCAGGAGCUACCCUUUGAUUCUGACUUUUCUGAUUUCCUGAUUUCCAGCAGCCCUCCUGACCAUUGUCCUCACAACUUUGCCAAUGUUUAUGGAAGCCUCCAGUUUCCUGUAUUUAAUGUCUUCUUAAUUGAGAUCCCUAGAGUGACUUCUAAAUUUCUGACCAAACCCUGAUUGAAUCACUUUAUUAUCUUGUAUCAUGUUAUAAAGAGUCAGUUACUUACAGAAAGACCAAGAAAGAUCAUACAGUGUUGGUCAAAAUUAUCAUCCUUCAACUCUAAAAAUUGUGAAGCCACUACUGUCUCUUACUGCUGGAUUGAAAGUAUUUAUCAAAUACAAUCCACUUGGAAAGGCCUUGAGAGGAAAUAAAAUGUUUCAUUAUACACUCAGAAAGGCUAAGUCUCUUUAGAAGGGGGUAGUCUUCUGAGGGUUACUUGUCUGGAUAUGAAGAACUCAUUGUGCAUGGCUACUAAGUUAUAGUUGUAAAUGAGGGGAAAGAGGGCCAUCAGCCAAAACUGCAAAUUAAAAAGAAAGUUCUCUGGCUUUGGGAAUUUGAUAAGUCCAACCACUUAGAAUAGUAGAAUCUUCUGGCUCCUCUUUGGCUCUGCUGAAUCUUGCUUUUGAAUGUCCUGAACAUGCUAUUGCCAUCUCUUGGUUAUUUCUAGAGUGUUUCAAUCAGAGUAAGUUAGGCUAUGUUGUGGUUAUAAAUAACUCCAAAAUUUCAGGAGUUUAACUCAAUACAGGGUUUAUUUUCACCCCUGCUACUGCUGGUCUACUGUUGCUUAGGUAGCUCUCCUAGGUAGGCAGUAUUUCUUCAAGCAGUGAUGUGGGGAUCUAGGUUCUUUCAGUGGUGCCUCUCUCAAAACUUCACUGCCCCCACAGAAGGGCAAGAGAGGUCCAACUUCACACAGAGGCCUAGAUGUGGCAGAUAUUACUGAAAAUUGUAUUAUGUUGGCUAGAUCCCAGUUAUAAGGUCCCAGUGUAACUACAGGGAGGCCUGGCAGUAUGGUUUCCCAAUGUUAUUAAUAAGCUUCUAGCUAUCUGUGGCCAGAUUCUACGAGAGAAUCAUCCUUUCAAUGUUCCAUGUUGCUCUCACCUCACAAAUCUGACCAUACUUUAACAUUUUUUUGCUCCCCCAAGGGUUCUGUCAUUCAUAUUAUUUUCUUUAUCUAGAUCAACUGAAUGAACCCUCAUUUUUCUUAUCUGAAUGAUGGCAGAAUAAACACAGAACGUGUGUUUAUAUGCUGAAUCAUAACGAUGAUAGCAGUCAGUGGUUCAGGUUCUCUGAUCAUCUUCACUGUACUGUGAGAACUGGAAGUCUCACUCUGCUGCCUCCUGGUGAAGUGUUUCCUGGUCUCUCCAUCCUCUGUAUCCUUUUUGAUUCUCCAGAACAAGCAGCAUCUGUAGUCCAUACUCGUGGUUCCCAAAUUUUAUGUGCAUCAGAAUCACCUAAACAGCUUAUUAACACAGAAAUUUCUUGGCCCUACUCUAGAGUUUCAGAUUCGUUUUGGUCUGAGGGUGUGGCCUGAGAGUUUGCAUUUUUGAAAAAUUCCCAAGUGAUGCUGAUGUUGCUGGUCUGGGGACUGGGUUUUGAGAUUUAGUGGUGUAUACCAAAUAUUUUAGGGUGAAAUUUUGUGUAAUCUCGAAUUAUUUGCUAUUUUGUUAACAUUCAAAUCAAUACAUUUGAGUGCCUACUGUGUGCAAGGCCUUAUGCCAUCUGGUGGUGGUCAUUAGUUGUACUUCAAGGAUAUCAUUUUAAUUUAUUUUUUGAAUUCUGUAUCAUUUUAGUAGAUAUUAGGUUGAUAUUUAUUAAUUGGUGUGAACCAAUACAGUAGACUUCUACUGUCUAAUCUUUACUUAAAACAAUGAACGAUUAUCAGAUUGAAAAUAGACGGUGCAAACAUGGUAUUUGGGACUGCUUAUGAAAACGUGUGAUGCCAUCUUUUGACCUCUGGGAUUGUCUUAUGGGAAUAGACAAUCUUACUCUAUUAUGUGAACAUCAUUCUGAAGCAAUACAAUAAACAUGGCAUGUGAAUUAUUCAAUUUCAUGUCCUUGGACAUCAUUAGUCAAAGGUGUUGCAAAAAAGAUAAUUAGACUUGGUCCUUAAUUGAAAGACAUUUGACUUUACACAGAUAUUAAUGGAAGUUAAGUUGCAAACCUUCCAGAAUAUGUUUAAAUAACUAGAUAAAGUGGCUUUGAGAUUUUAAUUUGGCCCUGAUGCUUAUUGGCCAAAGGUGAAUUUUACUCAAGAGUAUUGAUCCUGUUUUAUUUUAAUGUUCAGUAUGUUUGCCAUGGGAUAUUUUAGCUCCACAAGGACUCAUGAGUUGAAAGUCGUUUAAUGUUCCAUAACAGUAGCAGCUACCUAGAAACGAUGAUUGUUCUGGUAACAUUGAAGGUUUGACUUCAGUUUUGCAAAGUAUUUUACAACUAAUUUUCUCAUACAAUAUAAAAUUUGGGGCUAAUUUCACUUCAAUAGUGAAAAAUCAACUCUUAUUUGUCCUGUGGGUAGAAGUUGUAAAUAAUAUGAAUUUCACAGUCUACAAAUUGUUUUACAUUGCUUUGAAACACUUUUGAAGAUGAGGAAGAAAACUUUACAUAUUUACACAGUAAAGUCAUUCUACUCUUAUGCCAGAGUAAGUACUAUUCUCCUCUUAAUCUUUUUUUCCUCCCAUCAAUAUUUUUUUUCAUGUUUAACAUGUUGAAACCCAUGUUCAAGUUGCAAAAGUGUCCAAAAUUGUUGGGAACAUGCCAUGGGAAGAAACUUUCUCUUUAAUUUUAUUCCUCUUAUUUCCAGCUCUAUGGAAGAACAGCCUCUGGCUUUUUCUUUAGCUCUGCAAUUUUUUUCCUUCUCAAAUUGGUACUGCCUUUUGAUCUUCUAGAGUUCUACAACGGAAUAAAUAUGCAUAUAGAUAAAAGGGAACAUGUGAAUAAAAUAUAUUUAGACUUUCUGAGACCUUUGACAAUAUUUGCAUAAAGAACUUAUUAAAAGUUGAGUCACUAGCAUUGCCUAUAUUAUUUUGUCAAUGGUGGCAACCAGUUUAAAGUAUAGGAAGAAAGUAGAGCAAUAAGGGAAAAUAAUAAUUUUUCCUAUCUCAGUGGAAAAAUGAAUUCAUAGGCAUCAAUUCUAUAAUAAAUUAGGGGUAAUGAUCUCUAAAGCAAGUGGGUAAGCUUUGAAGAUAAUAUCUUGCUUUUCCAAGUUAGUUUGCGUAUUUUGAGGCUACAUGAGUACUCUUCAUUGCCAGAAGAGUAUAUGUGGAUACUUGGAAUGUUUUAGGAUAAAUUCUCACAUCUCAUUCUGAGGAAAUUCUUGGUUAAAUAAAAUUAAACCGAGGUUUAUAAUGUAGAGUCUUGUCAAUAUCUGAGUGCAGAUAGAGUAUUCAGUGUUUCUCAAAUUUACUUGAUCAUGGAACUCUUUUGGCUCUGAGUACUUUUAACAAUUCAUGAGAUGAUGGCAAGCUAUAGGUCACAGUUCUGGAAAUGCAGAUCUAAGUAACUGUUAUUGGGUGAACAUACAACUUAGGAGCCAUUAUAAUAUGUUAAAUAAUCAUCCUGAGCAUUAAAUGAUCAACUAGUGUUGAGAAAAGUCAAAAAGGAUAUUGUGUUUUUAAACAAGUUUUUAAAGUUUAUUUGAGAGACAAAGAGAGACAGAGCAUGAGCAAGGGAGGUGCAGAGAGAGAGGGAGACACAGAAUCUGAAGGAGGCUCCAGGCUCCGAGCUGUUAGCAUAGAGCCCCAUGCAGGUCUCGAACCCACAAACCAUGAAAUCAUGACCUGAGCCGAAGUAGCCACACUCAACCGACUGAGCCCCCCAGGCAUCUCUUAAAGAAUUUUUUUAAUGUUUAUUUUUUAGAGUGAGAGAGGGUGAGAGUGAGGGAGAGAGAGAGCACAAGUAUGGUAGGGGCAGAGACAGAGAGAGGGAGACACAGACUCUGAAGCAGGCUCCAGGCUCUGAACUGUCAGUACAGAGCCCAAUGCAGGGCUUGAACUCCCAAACCAUGCGAUCAUGACCUGAGCCGAAGUAGGAUACUUAACUGACUGAGCCACCCAGGCACCGCUCAAAAAGGAUAUUUAAAACAAAGAACAGUUCUUUGGCACCUACUUUAUCAGGCAAAGGAGCUCUAGCUAAUGGCAGUUCCUUCUCUAGAUUUAAUUCCGCCCCCAAGAACUUUGGUUCUUUAGUUUUCUUCUUUCUUUAUCUUCAGUCUUGUUCUCACUAGAUGAUUAUGCCCAUCAUCGUUUACUCAAAACACACUGAAAAAGCCCUUCCUUGUCACCACAACAUCCUCUGUCUAGCUCCCUCACCUUUCUAUUGCUUUCGUAAUCAAACUUCUUAAAACACUUGUCUCCAUAAGCUGACUCCCAUUUUCUCACCUAUUCAUACUCCAGUCUAGCUUCUACUGAAACCGUUCUUUGCAAGGUGAUCAAGACCAGUGAUCAAGAGGACCAUGUAUCUUAUUGCCAAUGAGCUGCUGGAAAUGAAAGGAGGCACUAUUAAUAAUCCUGUGUACAUAAGAGGCAUUCCCUUCACUACCGUACUAAUGCCUGUCAAUAAUGGAUGAGAGGCUACUCCCAGGGAUGUUACUCCCUAGAGCUUCUAGUCUGCCUUGCUUCAUUCAAGAAAGAUUUUAGUUGCUGGCAUUUGUUCUUGGAAGCCUGCAUUAGGUACGCAGUAGUCCCCCAUCAUUCACCAUUUCUUGUUCUUUGAAUCCAGUGACCUGCUAUCAACUGCAGUCUGGAAGCAGAUGUCUGGAAGCAGACACAUUGUCGGAAGGUCAGCAGUAGCUUAACACAACAUCACACUGCCCAUGUUGUUCACUUUACUUCAUCUCAUCAUGUAGGCCUUUUAUUAUCAUCAAAAGAAGAAGAAGAGAGUAAGCACAUUCACAUAACUUUCAUUACAGUAUAUUGUUAUAAUUGUCCUAUUUUUAUUAUUAGUUAAUGUUGUUAAUCUCUUAUGUGCCUAAUUUAUGAUUUAAACUUUAUCAUAACUGUAUAUGUAUAGGAAAAACAUAGUGUAUACAGGGUUCGGUGCUAUCUGUAGCUUCAGGCAUCCACUGGGGUUCUUGGAAUGUAUCCCCUCCCAGACAAGCAGGGGGGGGACGACAGUAUACAGUAUGGUGAGUACAGAUGGCAUGUGCAUGGGUAUCAACAACAUCUGUGGCAGCAAAGCAUCAGGACAAGGCUGAAAAAUCUUCUGGUAUGAACGACAUUAGACUUCUUGCUUAGUAAACUAUCUCAUCUGCACAGAAAUCAAACCACAUUGAUGUCUGAAGAUAAUCUGGCCAAGGAGCCUCAGUAAAUGAAUCUGAAGGAUUUAGAAAUCUUAAAAUUCGUAUACUUGCUUAGAUGUCCUUGAACCAGGCACAUGACUAUAGCAUGGUAAACCCUGAUGGGGAGAGAAGUUUAUGUGAGGUUUGAGAUAGAAUCAUGACAACAGUACCAGCAUCUGACUGGCUAAUUGUAAUGAAGAAUUUAAUGCACAAGUUGUGAGCAGUGCCAAGGAACUGGAAAAUUCUCCAGCUGUGGUCUGCUCCUCAGCAAGCUCAUUACACUUUAGCCCAGGAUCACCAACACUCUCCUUUGUUCCAAGUUAUUUUGCAAAUGACUGCUCAAAGGGGAUCCCCAUCUUGGGAGAUCACAAUCCUCCCACUGUGACUUCCUAGCUCAGCCUUGUUCUGCCUUACUGGUUUUUCUAGUAGUCCAGUCCAACCAAAUGUGUUUAAACCAGUAAUACUGCCUAUCUCUGAUGAGAAAUACUUCAGAUGUUUUGGCUUGUCCCUCUUUCCUAGGAGAAAGAAAGAAUGAGACAGCAAGAGAGAGGGAGAGAGGCAUCUUGAGUACACCGAAUUCCACCUGGAAUUAUCUUACUGACAUGUCACUUUCAGAGGUUGCUGUUUAAUAUACCGUAGUCAGGAGCAAGCAGGUAGCAAAGUGUAAUGGAGGGAGCCUGGACUUAGUGGUUUGAGUGGGUUUAACUUCUUACUCUCUUCCUUAUUCACUAUCCAGUCCUGGACUAGUUACCUCUCUGCACCUCAGAUUCUUAUCUCUAGUGUGGACAUGCUAACAUUUACUUAACAGGUGCGCUAAUAACAACAAUAAAAGUAAUAAAUAAGAGUGACUUUUUUUUUGUCAAAAUGUGUGUUCUGUGUCUUCAUAUCUAUCUUGAUAAUCAUACCAGAAAUAGAAAAGACUCUUACCAUUUGAAACAAAAUCUCAAUACCAGUUUUUCUGAGCCAGAAGCAAUUAAGAGUGAGUCAUCCAGAACCAUCUCCACCAAAUUUUUCCUGAAAUGUGUAGCCUAACGCGGCCUGAUUGGAUUCAUUCCUCCAGUUAUGGCUUAAUAUAGUUGCAAGGCAGGACUAUACUAGGCUAUAUUUUUUUCCUGUUUAACUAUAAUCUCCUUCCAAAGGUUGCUAUGAAUAAAACAAACAGACAAAUUAAUGGAGUUUGCUUCUCACUAUGGAUUUCUUAUGUUAGAAAAUGUGCAGUCCUAUAGUUAUUCAAUGUGAUCACCAGAUAGGGCUUGUCUGUCAGGGAACCCAAAGUAGUGGUUGGUGAUAAAUUUCAUGCAUGGUAUACCAAACAAACAAACAAACAAACAAACAAAUAUUUAAUUAAGAAAUUAGCCCAUCGAAAGAAUUUAGGACUAAAUUAAGUCCAGGUUACUUCUGCCCCAGGAGCAUCUCAUAGAUGCUUACUGUGCUUCUGAAACUUGCAUGAACUUACUUUUAGCUUGCCUCUCUAGGCCUGGAUUUCCCAGGUGUAAAUUAAGGAAAUUAGGCAAUCUUUCAUUAGAUAAUCUUUAAUGUCUUUUUCUGAUGUUUUAAGUGUAUGGAACUUGGAGUAAGGUGAAGCAGACCUCAUAAUUAUUUAGGUACUAAGUGGGACUGUUACCAGGCCAAUUUCCUCAGAGAAAUUAAUACAUUUUUGGGGGCCCAAAGCAUAGAUCUGCCAAGAACACUUUUUCAGGGUUCUGGUCACAAGUUACAAAAAUCCAUUAAGGGUGAUUUAAGCAGAAAAGGAAUUAUUAAAAGAAGCUUAGAGAGCUGGUAAUAUUGCUGGGAUAGUUAAAGAACAAGACUUGGGGCCACAUGGCAGAGACAAUACCUCAAAUCACCGGUCCAGUGAUAUUCUGCUGUUACUGUUGAGCACUGGUUCCCACAGCUUACCCUACUGGUGGCAUGCUCUUGGACACUGGAUGUGGGUGCCAACAUUGCCUCUACCUAUUGUCAGGAAAGGUUCUGCAUGGUCAUUUAUUUCUAAUUAACAGUUGGAAGCAAGUGCUCUGAUUGGUGGAGCUUAGGUCAUAUGGUCAUGCCCUAGCUGCAAAGGAGCCUGGGAAGGUGAUAUCUUGUUGCAGCAUUAUUUUGCUACUUCAGCUUCUGAAGGGGAAAGAAGUCUUUGCCUUCCACCGAGACUCCGUAGGUGGAAAAAUUUCCAGACAUAGGAAGUGGUUCAGAUGCCGUAAAAACAAUAGAAUCUUUGGGAAAAUGUUCAGGAAAAAAUGACAGUAUCCACCUCAAUCCAUUUGGCGAGUGCCUCCUAUUCCAUAUCACAACAGAAGCCUUUUGCAAUGAAGCAACAGACUACCAAAUUUUAUUCUCUAAAUUCUGCUACCAAAUUUUAUUCUCUUUGCAUGCAACCAUCAGAAUGUCAUAAACAUUAGUUUUGAGAAGAAAAACAUUUCCAUUUUUGUCUAUUUCAUGAUGUCUCUUUUUUAGUUUGUAAAACAUUGGGUCCAUCAAAAUAAGCACCAACAUUUUCUUAUAAAACUGGCAUCCGAUAUGAAAUAAGAUACACUCCCUGCACUUAUGACCUCAAAAAUUAUAUUCAUUAAGGGGACUGUAUUCAUUGUGAAUGAUUAUACAGUUAAAUAACUUAAAACCUGACAAGGAAUAUCAUUUUUGUGCUUAUGGGAUCUGGUCCCCCUGAAAAAGUAUUAUCACCAAGACCAUCCUUUGGCAAUUGUGGAAUAGGGAAGGUUUUAGGGCCCUCAUUUUCCAUUUCCUUCACCUCGAUGAUAAUUAUUCUCAGGAAAUGAUUUCAUAAAAUGUAAUUUAUACUACGCAGUCAUUUAUAUAAAUGACUUUUAACAUCUAUUGGGUAAUUCUUGGUCUUUUAUCUCUGAUUCUGUCCUUAAAAGAGAACUCAUUGUGAGGACCCACUAUCAGAUCUUGCCAGCAUGGCUGUGGGAAAUAAAUUGUGUGGAGUUGAGGAGGAGAGGUGAUGUGAUCUGUUGGUGCUGCAGGAAGUGAGCCCAGUGUGUCAGACAGAUAAUUAAAUAUCUAUGUUUUUAAAAAUGCUUAUAAUAUGUCUAGUAUCUUUACAGUAAUGUAUUAUAAUCCUCAUUUUAUACAUGAAGAUACCAAGUCUCAGUGAGAUUAGAAAACUCAUUCUAGGCAACUGUGUUAGAAAGUCUCUUAAAGAGGUCUCUGUGCUAAUCCCUACAAUCUAUGAAUAUGUUAUAUUAUGUGGCAAAGUAGAGUUAAGAUUGUAUAUGGAAUUAAGGUUGCUGAUCAACUGACCUUAAAGUAAGUAGACUAUCUUAGGUGGGCACAUAUAGUCUCAAGGGGACUUUAAAAUGGAAAAGGGAAGCAGAAGAGAAGGACCACAGAAUAACAGAGAUUGGGAUAUGUUACGCUACUGGCUUUGAAGAGGAGGAGGAACCACAGAUCAAAGAAUGCUUGUGGCUUCCAAAAGCUGGAAAAGGCACAGAAAUGGAUUUUGCCCUAGAGUAUCCAGAAGAAAUUGGUCUUGUCGACACCUUGAUUUUAGCCGACUGAGACCCAUUCUGGACUUCUGACCUCCAGGACUGCAAGUUAGUAAAUUUUUAUUGUUUGAAGACAUAAAACAUGUGGUGAUUUGUUAUAGCAGCAGCAGCAAACCAAUUAGUACAGCCACACAAGAAUUAAAUGUUAAAGCCAGGAUUCAAAGUCCAAAUCCCAAAUUCUUUCAGUGUAGUUCAAAGGCAAAAAUCAAAAGACAUAGGCAAAAGAGGCUCCUGUUUAGUUAAGAAGUCAUAUAAGAGGCCAAGAACAAGAUGGAAGGGGUCUCAAGAGGUGGAGGAUGAAAAUCAUGGUAUGAUUGGGGUGUUAUUAGAAGAUGAUAUUAAAGGUAUCAUUUUCUCAGAAGCCCUGGGCAAACUGAAUCCUGCUUUUUGCCUCUCUUCCCAGGAGUGAACCAAGGCAAAGCAAGCAGACAUGCACGUUUACUAGCAAGAAUGUAAGCUCCAUGAGGGCAGGACAUCUGCGUUGUUCACUACCAUACCCAAAGAACCAACAAUGGGGCCCGGAACAUAAUAUGUGCACAACAUAUAGUGAGUGUACUAAUGAAUAAAUGAAUGGUGCUUUUUCAAGCCCUCAUAUCCAGUGAGUUAAUCUGGAUGAGCAGGAUGAUCCCUUCUUUAUUCCAAUGCUAGGAAAGCCUGUGGCAACUUUGAGUCCAAUUCAGGCAGAAGGCCUGCUCUGUUUUCAUCCCAAACACCAAGCCUGGAUUUCACAUCUCAUAGUAAUAUAUUGAUAGCUAACACUUAAAUAGCAUUUGAUGCUGUUUUAAGUGAUUUACCUUUAGUAACUCAUAUGUUAUACAUUCAUGUUUUAAUUCACAACCAUUUGAUUUAAGUACUACAUUACUCCCAUUCCACAGAUGAGGAAACUUUAGGUACCAGAAGUUUAGGAGGGUCAUUCAUACUUACACAGCUUGUUAAUCAUGGAGGUGAUCCAGGCAGUCAGGCCCCAGAUUUCAUGUUCUUUACUACUUUGUAAUAAAAUAGGAGAG